GACGAACGCUGGCGGCGUGCUUAACACAUGCAAGUCGAACGGAAAGGCCCUGCUUUUGUGGUGUGCUCGAGUAGCGAAAGGGUGAGUAACAAGGGAGUAACCUCCCCUUGACUUUCUGAUUACUUCAGGAAACUGGCGCUAAUACCCGAUAAGAGCUCCUGCUUCAGGGUGGGGGUUGGAAAGUUUCGGCGGUUGGGGAUUGACUCGCGUCUUAUCAGCUUGUGGGUGGGGUAGUGGCUUACCAAGGCUUUGACGGGUAGCCGGCCUGGCAGGGUGACCGGCCCGAUUGGGACUGAGAUAGGGCCCAGACUCCUACGGGAGGCAGCGGUGGGGAGUAUUGCACAAUGGGAGGAAGCGUGAUGCGGCACCGCCGCGUGCGGGAUGACGGCCUGGGGGUUGUAACCCGCUUCCGCCUGUGACGAAGCGUGAGUGACGGUAAUGUGUAAAGAAGCACCGGCUAAAUACGUG
rnacentral:rRNA from 1 species